rnacentral:misc_RNA from 12 species
GUCGUGCUGGUGCACCGAACUGCUUCCCUCACUUUCGAUCAAUUGUUGCUCCACGACCUAACGUUGGAUGCAAAGAGUGGGUUCCUGUGCUGCAUACCUGUUGCGACGGAAACUUGUGCCUUUCGUUGACCCUUUCAUCGUAACAUCCUUUCGGAUGCUCGGUUGUACUAGACAGUAGGGCUUGUGUUCCAUGAACAUCUCACGUGAUCGUUUGGAUGGACCAUGAGURCCUACUUGUUCUCUCGGAUGCGGAACUUUCUUCAUGGGUGUGGGGUCAUUGGCCCUUGUUCCCAAAUCGUUAAGCGUUUAUCGCUUUACUGGAAUGACGCUCUUGCCUUGCCUUGACCGUACGCGRAGCUCUCGGGCUUCACGAUGGAUCAUGCUCGGCGGACGUYGUGAAGGAAUGCUACCUGGUUG